rnacentral:lncRNA from 1 species
GGGUUUCCGCUAUUGUUUCGUCCUCAUUUUCUCUUGCUGCUACCAUGGAAGAAGCGACUUUCGCCUCCCGCCGUGAUUCUGAGGCCUUUCCAGCCAUGUCAAACUCAAAAUGUGACUGAAAAACAGAAGCAUUUGGAAUACGUAACAGAAGUCAUUAAAAAGAGCCAUGUAAUAUGUGCCUGCUUCCCCUUCUGCCAUGAUUGUAAGUUUCCUGAUGCCUUCUCAGCCAUGCAGAACUAGUCUCACUCUAUUGCUCAGGCUGGAGUCAGUGGCGCAAUCUCAGCUCACUCCAACCUCCGCCUCAUGGGUUCAAAUGAUUCUCCUGCCUCAGCCUCCCAAGUAGAUGGGAUUACAGGCACAUGCCCCCAUGCCCAGCUAAUUUUUGUGUUUUUAGUAGAGACUAGGGUUUCACCAUGUUAGCCAGGCUGUUCUCAGACUCCUGACCUCAGGUGAUCCACCUGCCUCGGCCUUCCAAAGUGCUGGGAUUACAGGCAUGAGCCACUGCACCAAGCCUUAUUCUAUUGAUUAUUAUAAGAAGUGUUAACAUCUUGAACUAUGAUUAUAUAUUCAUCAAUUUAAGCAUAUACAUUUGAUUUUGUUAAGUCCUCCUGAAGAAGUCUGUUUAUAAUAUUAAAUAUCCUAGUUGAUCACUGUUUUAAAAUUUACUUUUUUAUAUAUUUUUUUUCACUUAAUGUAACUCUGAUCAAUGCUACUUCAGUAUGCCUGGAAGUGGAAAUUACAAUGUGGAUAUUUUUAAUGAGGAAAAAACUGGCUUUUAAUUUUCAAGUGAGUCUUAUGUACUCCCCCACAUAUUUAGACAUAUAUGUAUGUGUGCACGUGUGCCUAUAUAUACUUAUAUACUUCAUAUAUAUAUACACACACACAUAUAUGUGAAGAGAGAGAGAAUAUGUAUACACACAUACCACAUUUAGCAAGUUUUUAAGUACUUUAGGUGUCGAGCUGUGAAUGAGAAAAAAGAGCAGGGAAUUCAAAUAAAAAUAAUGUGGACUUAAUAUAAUUACUGGUAAUCUUAGAUUUUGUUUCUAUUUACUGUUGAAUUUUAGGUAAAAAUUCAGAAUAUCUUAGAAUAGCUCAUCAAAUUUCCAGUCCAUGAUAUAACCCAGCCCCAUCCCAUAGAACAUGAUACACUGAUUUUUACAUAUUAUAGUUCUUUUAUAUAUUUAGUGAGAAGCAUUAUUUAUCAAUUUUCUUUAAUGUCUUAUUGUAUUGUGUAUUAUAUAAAUAAUUCUAUCAGUAUAUUCCUGUUUAAAAAUGAUUUUUGUAAGGCUUCACUAAGUUGAAAUUUCCAGACAAAGAAAAAGUUGUACCGUCCCUUUUUUCCUUUAACGGAAUCAAGUAAAUCUGAAUGUGUUAGUGGUCUACAUUUCCACUGAGGAUAAUUGACAGACACUGAGGUCUCUCCUUUUAAGUAACUGUCAAAGAGUAUCCUAAGAGGCUCUAGGGAAUAUGGUAAGCGAUUGCUAAUGAUGUUUAUGUGUCUAAAUAUCAUCCUAACAAUGUAACACUCUCCCAUUAACAAAAUUGUUUCUACAAUUACCAUCAACAUUAUUCCAAUAAAUGUAAUCUUGUUAUUUCAUUAUGAAA